GCUGGGAUAGCUCAAUUGGUAGGGGAUAGGAUUCUUAAUCUCAUGUUCAUGAGUUUGAACCUCAUGUUCGGCA